UAAAGGAAUCUAACGUACAUAGAAGAAAGUGGGGGAAGUGUUUAGUGGAUCAGAUGCUUAAUGUAACCUUGAACUCUGGAUCUUCCAGGGCCUGCUGGUGCUGAGGACAAGCUUGCAGGGGCAUUUACCAAUUUGCAGUCGCACAGAGUUUCUAAGUAUCCUAAGUCUUAAACAUGCACAUUUCAAGCUCAUUCAUCAAUCUGACACCCAAUUCAAUUGCUGAGACUGUGCCUUCAAACCACAGCUGGGAGGGGGCAGAACUCGGUCAUCCUGACAAGAGCCCUGGGCCAUACUACCACUCUACGGCUCCUGCAGUACAGCUGUGAUGCAAAAAAGCUGGUAUUAGUCUGUGAGAUGGAACGACUUGAAUACUCUCUCCAAACCCAACCAGAGUUAGCUGAUGUAGGGAGAUAAGAGUGAGACAUUUUUUGUCCAUAACACCCAUGCCUAGAGAAAUGAGACAGGAAUGCUCUGUAGUAAGUGGUAUAGUGUAUUGUCUCUCUGUACAGGGGAACAAGGAGAGAGCACUCUGCUAAACCUGUUACCCAACAUGCUGAUGUAGAUGUUAUAUUCCCAGCAGAAUUGGACUGCAUGUAUAUGAGAGCAUUCCCUAUGUUUUUGCUGUUUCAGUGAUCAGUUAUAUUCUGCUGAAGUCCCCUUUGCAGUGUUUGCAUGAAUAAGAAUGGACGAGGGGUUGCCAUGGAAAUCCAGCACGUGUUUAAAGGGUGUGACCUUCUAAACAUUUGGUUUCUGUAAAUGUUUAGAGAAAUGGGAAAAAUCUGAAGCCAGGGUUUUAGAUUGUGCUGAUGCUGUUCAAGAAGCAUGUGUGUGACAUCCUCUGAGUCACUGUGUGUUGUCACAUUUGGGCUACUUGUUCUUGCUAGAUGCUGCAUUACAGAACCUCGCACCCUAACAGUCAGCAAAGCUAGACUUGCAAAGGGCACCAUGAUGGUCUGGAUCUCAAGAACAAUGACUCAGAUUUGGCAUUCUUGGAGUGAUGGUAGUGCCCACCAUGGGUCCUAUGCACAAGUGCUCAUCCACCUUAACAGGAAACGGAAGAACAUCUCUCCCAGAGUACUUUAUCUUGGGUAGUGUUACAACAGGAAGCACUUAUUCUGAGACAAGCUCCCCCACUAACGUUGACAGCAACAUUAUUUCAAGGACCUAUUGCCAAGAAGGAUUCCUAGGAAACUUGUUGUCCCUGCCAAUCCACAGAGGGGGAAAAGAAAUUCUGGCUUCCUUUCUCCAUUCCACUCUGGGGAAAAAAAAAUAAGAAGAAUAAAAUCUGUCAUUGACCUUUC